rnacentral:rRNA from 1 species
UAAAGGGAAGGAGCUGAAGCGGGGACGGGUGAGUAACGCGUAGGUAAGCUGUCCCAUACACAGGGAUAGCCUAGGGAAACCUGGAUUAAUACCUGAUGACGCGAAGGAGUCACAUGGCUUCUUCGCCAAAGAUUUAUCGGUAUGGGAUGGACCUGCGUCUGAUUAGCUAGUUGGUGGGGUAACGGCUCACCAAGGCAACGAUCAGUACCGACCUGAGAGGGUGGCGGCCACAUUGUAACUGAGACACGGUCCAAACUCCUACGGGAGGC